AAGAAGAAGAGAAGUAGAGGGAGAAGAGAAGAAGAGGGAAAAGAAGAGAGGAAGAAGAGGGAGAAGAGAAGAAAAGAAGAAGUAGAAGAGAGGGAAGAUGGAGAGGAGAAAGAGAGGCAGCUGAAGUAGCUAGGGCUUCAGCACCUCUGUUUCCCGCAGGUGGAAACAGAGGAGAGGAUGUGUGGGGCGUUGAGGAUGAAAAGGGAAGAAGAAGAAGAAGAAGAAGAAGAAGAAGAAGGAGGAGAAGAGAGGAGGAUAGCUGCGGCAAGGCUGCAGCGAGGAGGUGUGUGGCGUUGGGGAGGAAAAGGGAAGAGGAGAAGAAGAGAAGGAGAAGAAGAGGGAAAAGAGAGGGACGAGGGAGAGGAGCGAGAGGUGGCAGCAGCUAGGGCUGCAGCACCUCUGUUUCCUGCAGGUGGAAACAGAGGAGAGGUGUGGGGCGUUCGAAGAGGAGAAGAAGAAGAAGAGGAAGUGAAGAAGAAGAGGAAGCAGGAGAAGAGGUUGUGAUACCUCUGUUUCCUACAGAGGAAACAGAGGAGAGGGUGUGUGUGACGCCGGGGAAGAAGGGGCUGCAGCUGCGGCGAUGGCAGCUGCAGCUGGAAGAGAAGAAGAAGAGGAAGAUGAGCAGGGGAGGAGGGAGAGGUUGCGGCCGUGGCUGCGGCCGCGACUGCAGCAGUUGCAGCGGGGAGAGAAGAAGAAGAAAGGAAGGAGAAGGAAGAGGAGAAGGGAAAGAAGUAGCUGCGGUUGCGGCAGUGGCAGCUGCAGCUAUGGCAGGGAAAGAGGAAGAGAAAGGAAGAAGGGAAGGAGAGGAAGAAGAGAAGGGAAAGAAGGGGCUGCGGCUGCGGCGAUGGCAGCUGCAGUUGGAAGAGAAGAAGGAGAGGAAGAUGAGCAGGGGAAGAAGAAGAGGCUGUGGCCGCGGUUGAGGCUGCGACUGCAGCAGUGCAGCUGGGAAAGAAGAGAAGGAAAGGAAGAAGAAGAGAAAGGGAAGGAGAGGAAGAAGAGAGAAAGAGGAGAAGGGGUGGCAGCUGCGGCAGUGGCAGCUGCAGUUGGAAGAGAAGAAUGAGAGGAAAUAGAGUAGCGGAGGAAGAAGAGGCUGCGGUUGUGGUGGCUGCGGCCAUGGCUGCGAUUGCGACUGCGGCGGUUGCAGCUGGGAAAGAAAAGAAAGGAAAGGGGGGAAAAGGGGCUGCGGACGGGAUUGCGGCCGCAGCGGCAGCGACUGCGUAUGCAGCAAUUAUGUCUGCGAGUGAAGGGAGGAAGGAAGGUAGUGCGGUGGAAGGGGCUGCAAUUGUGGCAGCGGCAGCGGCGGCGGCGGCGGCUGUGGCAGCUGCGUUUGGGAAAGAAAAAGAAGGAAUGAGAGUAAGAGAGAGCAGGUGACUGUGCCUCGAUGUUCGACACGUGGUGUAGUUAUGAAGAAAGGAAGAAAAUGAGAGCACAAAACGAAACAGAGAGAGAACACGGAGGAAAAGUAGAAAAAGGAUUCGAGCGUACACCUUCUUCGAAUCUUUGGAUCAAAACCUUCAAAAGGUCAGCUUGUCACUCUUCGAGAUGUUUGAUUUGGGCUGAGGUAGUGGAUAGCUAUUCAGAAUUAUGGGCAAGUCUUGUCGGUUGUUAUGCUAUUGUUGUAUAAGCAUAUUUUGUAUGUAAUGAAUUGUUCUGAUGAUCGAAAUGGAUAUACUAUGUAAAAGUGUUAGAAGAUCUCUGUUAUUUGGAAUUUCGGAAUGUUAAGUCUAAUUUAUGACGAUAUGAACUUGUGGUGAAUAGUUGGAGUUCUGAUUGUAUAAUUUAUUUAGCUUGUGGAUUUAUAAAUGUUGUUCAUGUUUGUCAA